CUCAGGUCGUGGAAGCUGGAGAAAAAAUUCCUGCUAGCGUGCUAGUGACAGGGGCCACCAAGAAAAAGCCUCCCAUAGGCACAAUAUGGAUUGAGAUGUAGAAUACUUUCUUGCCAAAUUUUAUCCUUUGUAAUACCACGCGAUGGUUUGUCCACUCUCCGAAAGGAGCUAACCAUAUCACCCAAAAGGCCUUCCUUCCCAAUUCAAAGCCUUACUAUUACUGUGGAAACCAGGAUUUAAACCUGGCAUAUCAAAACUUGGCAGAAUUGUACCAUGAGUUCUUUGGAAUGUUUGCAAUAGUCCAACUUAUCGGAUCAUGGUCAUUGGCCUUGAUUAUUUGUGCUCUUUUAGAUCAUAUUUCAAACAAGGUUGUUCAUCAUUGAAGUUUAGCUUUAAGUGCUGAAGUAAAAGGAAAAGUUUGCUAAUGCAGAUUGAUUCAUCAAUAUUAUCCAAGUCUUGCUAACAAUACUUGUGAUUGGCAAUAAGGCUGCCACAGAAGUAUUCAUGAACAGUUGACCUAGGGGAAUGAAAACCGAACUUAAAACAGAAGCUCUUCAUAAUCUCAUGGAAAUAGGAAGUGCAAUAUACUUUAUGGGCCGUCUGGAUAUUGUAUUGAUCAUAUUUAUGCUAAUAUCAAACAAUCGACGGAGGGAGAGUGACACAACACAAUUCAUUCAGACGUCACCAUGGUUAGGGUUUAUUUUUGGAAGUGACGGACAAACGAAACAAGUUCAUGGAGCUGAAUGGGAG